AUUGAACGCUGGCGGCAGGCUUAACACAUGCAAGUCGAGCGGAGCGGCGGACGGGAGAGGAAUGCUUAGGUAUCUGCCUAUUAGCGGGGGACAACAUCUCGAAAGGGAUGACAAUAUCGCAUACGAAUAGUUGAGCCUAAGUCGGAUUAGCUAGUUGGUGGGGUAAAGGCCUACCAAGGCGACUAUCCGUAGCGGGUCUGAGAGGAUGAUCCGCCACACUGGGACUGAGACACGGCCCAGACUCCUACGGGAGGCAGCAGUGGGGAAUCUUGGUCAAUGGGGGGAAGCCUGACCCAGCAAGGCCGCGUGUGUGAAGAAGGCCUUCUGGUUGUAAAGCACUUUAAGCGAGGAGGCGUUACUCGAAGAAUAAGCACCGGCUAACUCUGUGCCAGCAGCCGCGGUAAUAC
rnacentral:rRNA from 1 species